UACAGAGGUGCCAAGCGUUAGGCGGAAUCACUGGGCUUAAAGCGCGUGUAGGUGGGUCGUUAAGUGUCCGCGUGAAAUCCCCCGGCUCAACCGGGGAACGGGCGCGGAUACGGCCAUCCUGGAGGGGCGUAGGGGGACCUGGAACUUCCGGUGGAGCGGUGAAAUGCGUUGAGAUCGGAAGGAACGCCCGUGGCGAAAGCGAGGUCCUGGACGCCUACUGACGCUGAGACGCGAAAGCCAGGGGAGCGAACGGG
rnacentral:rRNA from 1 species